rnacentral:rRNA from 1 species
AGGAUGAACGCUGGCGGCGGUGCCUAACGACGAUGCAAGUCGAACGUCCUGUCUCGCAAGAGGCAGGGAGUGGCGGACGGGUGAGUACCACGUGGGUCAUCUACCGUGAGGUGAGGAAUACCGGCGAGAAAUCGCCGACAAGACCGCAUAGGCUCGAUGCAAGUCGAGCAAAGCUCUUUCGAGAGAGGGAGCGCCACACGAGGAGCCUGCGCCCGAUUAGCUAGCUGGUGGAGUAACGGUUCACCAGGGCGACGAUCGGUAGCUGGUCUGAGAGGACGAUCAGCCACACUGGGAUUGAGAACGGCCCAGACUCCUACGGGGGGCAGCAGUGAGGAAUUUUCGUCAAUGGGGGCAACCCUGAACGAGCAACGCCGCGUGCAGGAAGAAGGUUUUCGGAUCGUAAACUGCUUUUCUCGGGGAAGAGAACGGACGGUACCCGAGGAAUCAGCCCCGGCUAACUACGCGCCAGCAGCCGCGGU